AUUGAACGCUAGCGGGAUGCUUUACACAUGCAAGUCGAACGGCAGCGCGGACUUCGGUCUGGCGGCGAGUGGCGAACGGGUGAGUAAUGUAUCGGAACGUGCCCAGUAGCGGGGGAUAACUACUCCAAAGCGUAGCUAAUACCACAUACGCCCUACGCCGGCAAGCAGGGGAUCGUAAGACCUUGCCCUAUUGGAGCGGCCGACAUCGGAUUAGCUAGUUGGUGGGGUAAGGGCUGACCAAGGCGGCGAUCCGUAGCUGGUGUGAGAGGACGAGCGGCCACACUGGGACUGAGACAGGGACCAGACUCCUACGGGAGGCAGCAGUGGGGAAUGUUGGACAAUGGGGGCGAACCUGAUACAGCCAGCCCGCGUGUGAGAUGAAGGCCUUCGGGUUGUAAAGCACUUUUGGCAGGAAAGAAACGUCGCGGGCUAAUACCCCGUGGAACUGACGGUACCUGCAGAAUAAGCACCGGCUAACUACGUG
rnacentral:rRNA from 1 species